rnacentral:tRNA from 1 species
ACUUAUUUAGCUUAAUGGAUAAAGCAACGAUUUUCUAAAUCGUAUAUAAAGGUUCAAUUCCUUUAAUGAGUA